UACGAAGGGGGCUAGCGUUGUUCGGAAUUAUUGGGCGUAAAGCGCACGUAGGCGGUUUGUUAAGUCGGAUGUGAAAUCCCUCGGCUCAACUGAGGAAGUGCAUCCGAAACUGGCGAGCUUGAGUACGAAAGAGGAUCGCGGAAUUCCCGGUGUAGAGGUGAAAUUCGUAGAUAUCGGGAGGAACACCGGUGGCGAAGGCGGCGAUCUGGGUCGAUACUGACGCUGAGGUGCGAAAGCGUGGGGAGCAAACAGG
rnacentral:rRNA from 1 species